rnacentral:rRNA from 1 species
UACGUAGGGGGCGAGCGUUGUCCGGAUUUACUGGGCGUAAAGGGUGAGUAGGCGGUUAUAUAUGUCAGGUGUAAAAGGCUAUGGCUUAACCAUGGUUAGCACUUGAAACUGUAUGACUUGAGUGCAGGAGAGGUAAGUGGAAUUCCUAGUGUAGCGGUGAAAUGCGUAGAUAUUAGGAGGAACACCAGUGGCGAAGGCGACUUACUGGACUGUAACUGACGCUGAGUCACGAAAGCGUGGGUAGCAAAACAGGAUUAGAUACCCGGGUAGUCCCUGA